GAAAUGCGAUAAGUAAUGUGAAUUGCAGAAUUCCGUGAAUCAUCGAAUCUUUGAACGCACAUUGCGCCCUCUGGCAUUCCGGGGGGCAUGCCUGUCCGAGCGUCAUUACGCACCCUCAAGCCCGGCUUGUGUGAUGGGCCCCGGCGUCUCGUUCGCGAGACGGGCCCGAAAGGCAGCGGCGGCGUCGACCCGAUGAGCCCGAGCGUAUGGGGACUUCUGUCACCCGUUCGCUCCGGAGGACCGCCGCCCGCGCCGUUAAAACUCUUCAUCACAGGUUGACCUCGGAUCGGGUAGGGAUACCCGCUGAACUUAAGC
rnacentral:misc_RNA from 1 species